GACGAACGCUGGCGGCGUGCUUAACACAUGCAAGUCGAACGGAAAGGCCCUGCUUUUGUGGGGUGCUCGAGUGGCGAACGGGUGAGUAACACGUGAGUAAACUGCACUUGACUUUGGGAUAACUUCAGGAAACUGGGGCUAAUACAGGAUAGGAGCUACUGCUGCAUGGUGGGGGUUGGUAAGUUUCGGCGGUUGGGGAUGGACUAGCAGCUUAUCAGCUUGUUGGUGGGGUAGUGGCAUACCAAGGCUGUGACGGGUAGCCGGCCUGAGCGGGUGACCGGCGACAUUGGGACUGAGAUACGGCGCAGACUCCUACGUGAGGCAGCAGUGGAGAGUCUUGCGCAGUGGGCGGAAGCCUGAGGCAGCAGCGCCGCGUGCGGGAUGACGGCCUACGAGUUGUAAACCGCUUUGGCCUGUGACGAAGCGUGAGUGACGGUAAUGGGUAAGGAAGCACCGGCUAACUACGUG
rnacentral:rRNA from 1 species